rnacentral:rRNA from 1 species
GACGAACGCUGGCGGCGUGCUUAACACAUGCAAGUCGAACGGAAAGGCCCUGCUUUUGUGGGGUGCUCGAGUGGCGAACGGGUGAGUAACACGUGUGUAUCCUGCCCUUGACUUUCGGAUAACUUCAGGAAACUGGGGCUAAUACCGGAUAGGAUCUCCUGCUCCAUGGUGGGGGUUGGAUAGUUUCGGCGGUUGGGGUUGGACUCGCGGCUUAUCAGCUUGCUGGUGGGGUAGUUGCUUACCAAGGCUUUGACGGGUAGCCGGCAUGGGAGGGUGACCGGGGACAAUGGGACUAAGAGACGGAGCAGAGGCGUACGGGAGGCAGCAGGGGGGAAUAUUACACAGUGGGCGGGAGCCGGAGGCAGAAACGCCGCGUGCGGAAUGACGGCCUUCGGGUUGAAAACCGCUUUCGCCUGUGACGAAGCGGGAGUGACGGUAAUGAGUAAAGAAGCACCGGCUAACUACGUG